AGUGAACGCUGGCGGUAGGCCUAACACAUGCAAGUCGAACGGCAGCACAGUAAGAGCUUGCUCUUACGGGUGGCGAGUGGCGGACGGGUGAGGAAUACAUCGGAAUCUACUUUUUCGUGGGGGAUAACGUAGGGAAACUUACGCUAAUACCGCAUACGACCUACGGGUGAAAGCAGGGGAUCUUCGGACCUUGCGCGAUUGAAUGAGCCGAUUUCGGAUUAGCUAGUUGGCGGGGUAAAGGCCCACCAAGGCGACGAUCCGUAGCUGGUCUGAGAGGAUGAUCAGACACACUGGAACUGAGACACGGUCCAGAGUCCUACGGGAGGCAGCAGUGGGGAAUAUUGGACAAUGGGCGCAAGCCUGAUCCAGCAAUACCGCGUGGGUGAAGAAGGCCUUCGGGUUGUAAAGCCCUUUUGUUGGGAAAGAAAAGCAGCAGGUUAAUACCCCGCUGUUCUGACGGUACCAAAAGAAUAAGCACCGGCUAACUUCGUG
rnacentral:rRNA from 1 species